rnacentral:rRNA from 1 species
AACGCUGGCGGCAUGCCUAACACAUGCAAGUCGAACGGGAUCCUAGCUUGCUAGGUGAGAGUGGCGGACGGGUGAGUAACACGUGGGAAUCUGCCUUUUGGUUCGGGAUAACCGCGGGAAACUGCGGCUAAUACCGAAUGCCCUCGAGAGAGGAAAGGUUUACCACCUGAGGAGGCGUCUGUUUCCUAUCAGCUUGUUGGCGGGGUAACGGCCCACCAAGGCUACGACGGGUAUGGGGUGUGAGAGCAUGCCCCCACUCACUGGGACUGAGAUACUGCCCAGACACCUACGGGUGGCUGCAGUCGAGAAUCUUCGGCAAUGGGCGCAAGCCUGACCGAGCGAUGCCGCGUGCGGGAUGAAGGCCUUCGGGCUGUAAACCGCUGUCGUAGGGGAGCAAGGGGAAACCUUGAGCGAUCCUAGGAGGAAGGACGGGCUAAGUUCGUG